AGGCUACUGCUAUUGGAGUUCGAUUAAGCCAUGCGAGUCUAAGGGACUUCGGUCCCUGGCAUAAUGCUCAGUAACAAGUGGAUAAUCUGCCCUCAGGUGAGGAAUAAACCCGGGAAACUGGGGCUAAUACCUCAUAGACACAGAAAGCUGGAAUGCUUCUGUGUUCAAAGCUCCGGCGCCUGAGGAUGAGUCUGCGGCCUAUCAGGUAGUAGUCAGGGUCACGACCUGACUAGCCAGCGACGGGUACGGGGUGUGAGAGCACUUGCCCGGAGAUGGUUUCUGAGACACGAAACCAGGCCCUACGGGGCGCAGCAGGCGCGAAAACUUCGCAAUGCGGGAAACCGUGACGAGGGAACUCCAAGUGUCUAUGCAAUGCAUAGACUGUUUUUCAGCCUAAAUCGCUGUUAGAGUAAGGGGUGGGUAAGACCGGUGCCAGCCGCCGCGGUAACACCGGCACCCCGAGUGGUAGCCACUAUUAUUGGGCCUAAAGCGUUCGUAGCCGGUUUGGUAAAUUCUUGGGUAAAUCGUACCGCUUAACGGUGCGGAUUCCGGGGACACUACCAGACUUGAGACUGGGGGAGAUCAGAGGUACUUGCGGGGGAGCGGUGAAAUGUUGUAAUCCCGCAGGGACCACCAGUGGCGAAGGCGUCUGAUCAGAACGGUUCUGACGGUGAGGAACGAAACCCUGGGGCGCAAACGGGAUUAGAUACCCCGGUAGUCCAGGGCGUAAACGCUGCUGACUUGGUGUUGGAGAUCCUACGAGGGUGUCCAGUGCUGGCGCGAAGGUAUUAAGUCAGCCGCCUGGGGAGUACGGUCGCAAGACUGAAACUUAAAGGAAUUGGCGGGGGAGCACUGCAACGUGUGGAGCGUGCGGUUUAAUUGGAUUCAACGCCGGAAAACUCACCGGGGGCGACGGUUACAUGAAGGCCAAGCUGAUGACUUUGCCUGAUUUUCCGAGAGGUGGUGCAUGGCCGCCGUCAGUUCGUACCGUAAGGCGUUCUG
rnacentral:rRNA from 1 species